GAUGAACGCUAGCGGCAGGCCUAACACAUGCAAGUCGCGGGGCAGCACGGGUAGCAAUACCUGGUGGCGACCGGCGCACGGGUGCGUAACGCGUAUGCAACCUGCCCCUAUCAGGGGAAUAGCCCGCCGAAAGGCGGAUUAAUGCCCCAUAGGCCCAGGGCGCCGCAUGGCGCUAUGGGUAAAGCUCCGGCGGAUGGGGAUGGGCAUGCGUGCCAUUAGCUAGUUGGGGCGGUAACGGCGCACCAAGGCGACGAUGGCUAGGGGGUCUGAGAGGAUGGUCCCCCCAACUGGUACUGAGACACGGACCAGACUCCUACGGGAGGCAGCAGUGAGGAAUAUUGGUCAAUGGGCGAAGCCUGAACCAGCCAUGCCGCGUGCAGGAUGACGGCCCUACGGGUUGUAAACUGCUUUUCCCCGGGAAGAAUAAGCCCCUGUGAGGGGUGAUGCCGGUACCGGGGAAUAAGGAUCGGCUAACGUCCGUGCCAGCAGCCGCGGUAAACUGUAC
rnacentral:rRNA from 1 species